rnacentral:precursor_RNA from 1 species
AGCCAACCAAUCAGAAAUGCAGGCGCAGUCAACACUCGUGAGGAGCCUAGGCGUUGAGAGCUGGGCAACCAAUCACACGGUAAUUGUAUGCACCCAUGCACAGGUCGAGGAGGCUCCUGUGUCUAAUUGUGUGCAGCAAGUCAAAGAGUCUCGAUUGAGCCUAGCAUGAGCAAUAGGGGCCACUCAGGC